rnacentral:lncRNA from 1 species
AAUAUUAGGCCUGAAUCUCCCCUCACUUAUUCAAUAAUAGAUCUCACCGUCUUCUUUCCCUCUUCAGGCAAGAAUACAGACCCCUUUCACCAUGGAUGAAUUUUGCUUCUCCAUUUUUGUGUAAUGGCUAUGUCAAUCACUUGAAGGACCAAGUCCAUCCAAGCUCACAACUCCCAACGUUUCAAAUUCAAAUGACUGAAAAAGAUCCUUCCCAAAAUCAAGAACCCUAGUUCUUCACCUAUAAAUACUCAAUUUUUUAGUCCAAAAAAAAUUCGGCCACAUAUCCCCUCAUAAAGCUCGCUGUAUAACUUCUGCUUGCAUCUCUCUGUCUCGGCCUUUGGAUUUUAGUCUUGGCGAAGAUUUUUGGCCGGCCAUACACGAUUUCAAUUCUAGGCUCUAAAAUGCCCUAGUUCACUGCUCCACGCAAGGUCAGUAGUUGUCCUCUUAGUUCAUUUUAGUUUCUCAUAUAUUUUGCUUCUACGUGUAUAGCAACAUUUGCUAAUUUCCCUUUUUCUUUUAGUAUUUUGAGCAUAGUAUUGGUAGUCAGGAUAUCUAUUGUCAAAUCUUGAUGCUUUAAAACGUUUCAAGUUGUCAUCUUGCUCUUUUGAUUCUAUUAGAAAUCAUGUGCUAUCACCUUUUUUGCAUUAUUUUUCUGUCGCAAUUACCACUUAGGUCCUAGACACGUGACAAAUCACUGCUUGCCUAGUUUCUAUUUAGUUAUUAAUAAAGCAAAUUUAAGAUGUUAUCCUUCAGUCAUGUAUUGUAUAUUUAUUCAGAAAGAAGCCUUAUUCUAUAUAUUUUAACAUCUUUAGUCCCACGUUAGAGAAUGCAAUUGGAUUUAAAAGUCUUUAUUUGUCUCACGACCAAUGUUUUAUUUCACGUCUGAACUAGUAGUAGGAUAAUGAACUAGGCACUUAAGUUUUUUUUUUUUAGUCAUAAUGUUUAACUGCUAGGAAGGACCAACGUUUUGAAAGUGAUAAAAUGCUCUCAUUUAUAGAUCAGGUGUCAUUUUUUUCACUUUUUGCAAAGAAUGGUAAGCUUGCAAUAGAAUCCAUGGUUAGGCAAUCUAAAGGCGAUGUUGAAACAUUGGUUGGGACUACAAAAAUAAAUCACAGCAUAGGACACUCACUUAUUUAAACUGUUUCACCAUUGUGAAUACUUGCUUCUGGGCAAUUCCUUACCAACCCGCAAAUUCUUAAACAUUAAUUGCAAGCCUUAAUAUACAAGAGCUUUAUACGUUUCGAUUUUGCUUGUUCUUUACCUGUUUGGAAUUUACUUUAAAUAUUUCAUUUGGUAAAGAUACUUGUCAAGUCUCUUGUGUUCUUUCCUCGUAAUGAUAAGGUAGCAAAUACUCUAAGUACCUCCUGGCUUUUUGUACGAAUUUGAAUUUUUUCCUUUUUCCUUUAUAUGUGCAUUUUGAAAUUCCAAUAUUUUCUUUCUCGUAUGAUUGCAAUAUAUAACUAUCUUCAUUACUUAUUCUUUAUUUUCUCCUUUCUUUACAUGUACGUUUUGGAGCAAAUGGAGUCUUAAUCCAAGACUCUAGCUAGUGAAGUCUCAAAAUGAGACGACCUUACCCCUAAUCCGAGCAAGGAGAUAUAUUCUAUACCCUCAAGUCAAAUUCGUUAGCAAUUUAAAGCCUCUUAUGUUCCUUCAAUCUCUAUUUUCUUUGUAUACAUAUGUCAUAUUGUCUUUCAUUACUUUCUUUGGAGCGGGUACAAUGUUGGCUAACCAAGUGGAAUAUUUUGUGACUCAGAUGACGUUGGCAUCGAAUUUCUUGAAGACUCCUUCCUUAACUUUCAAACUAAAAUUAGGCUUCAUCUUUCUCAGCUUUUACUUUAUGAGAGGACAAGAUGGAUCAUUUGGCAACCUAUGAGCAACAAUAUCUAUGCUUAGACCCAUCAUAUCAUCAUAGGACCAUGCAAACACAUAUACCAAUUAAUUCAUUCCUUUGGGAUGGAGUCAAAUGAACGCUAAUCCUUGUUUCUCUUAUGAAAUCUGAAUUCCUUAAGUUUAUCGUCUCAGUUUCAUCCAAAUUUAGUUUUGCCUUAUUUUUAAAAUAUUCAAAUUCCUUGAUCAACUCUUCAGACAUCGUGUCUUCUUCACAUUCUGCAAAGUCUUGUUCGCUAUUUAGAAUUGUUUAGCUUAUUUCGCUACAUGUCACAUUCAUAGUAUUAGCAGAUUUGUUAGUUUGCUUGCUAAAAAGGGAAAAAGAGAAGAUAAAUUAAUAAAGACGAUUUGAAAUGAAAGCAACAAAACAUAGUUUGGAUUUGGCAUUUAAGCUUUCAAAAAUGGAGGCAAAACACAUGAAUUUAUAAACAUGAUUCAGGCUUCAAUUUUGAAUCAUGUUGUAUCAUUCAUACUAAUACAAUCAUCUACCAAGAUUCCCGGAGAUUUAGGGAUGGGGUAUAAGUCCAAUUGUUCAAAGCAUCUCCAGGCUCAGCAUCCCAGAUAGUCAGGGUCUCAAUGCAAUCCUACAGAAUCGCAUUUCACUCAGCUUCUUCUUCAGUAAUGAACAAGCUUUUGACUCCUUCAAUGAGGUCUUCUUCAGCAUAUUCUUCUGAUACUUGGGCAACAAACGCUUUGGAAAAUGAUUGAUUCAGUAGUGGGACAGGCUUUGGCAGGAGAAUGUCACCUAUCCUUUUGAGAUAAUCCAACGAGACUUCUUCAGGAGUAGGCUAAUAUCCAAGACCAAAAAUGCUCGUCUUUCCGAACAAAUGAAUUGGAUCUAGUAUUCUAUCCAAGUUCACGCCAACACCUUGACCAGGCAUAAAACCAUUCUUCAACAUUUCUAUGGCCACCAUCAUAAGUGCCCGUGGCAACUUUAAACUUUUUACCUAAGCAGUACAUAUGAUCUCCUUAACAUGAAAAAUGAAUCCAUCCAACUUUUCCACACGUUCAAUAAUAGGGACUAGUUCUCCUGGUAGAUAGAACUAUUUUUCUCUCUAUGAAUCACAAUAUCAUGAUAAUCCCAAAUAAAUUUUAAAGUUUGGUGCAGGGUAGAAGGGACUGCGCCAGCACUGUGAACCCACAAUCUUCUAAGUAACAAAUUAUAACUAGCACAUAUGUCCAACACUUGAAAUUCCAUAGGUCCAAUUUGUAGUGCCAAAUCAAUUUCUUCAAUGAUUCACCUUUAACCCUCACAUUACUUUCACGAACCUUCCCAAUAUCAAUUUCUAAAGCCCGAAGAGUGGUAAAGGGCAAAUGUUAACAGUUGAGCCAUUGUUAAGAACUUUAGAAAUGAACUUGUUCCUACACUUGACAGUAAUGUUAAAUACUAUAUUGUGCCCCAGUCCCUCAGGUGGCAACUCAUUUUUAUGAAAAGAGACUAUAUUAGCUUCCAGAAAUUGACUCACCAAAGGUGAAAGAUUCUCUCUAGUAAUCUCAGUUGGAGCACAAGCUUUAUUCAACACCUUUACCAGAGCACACUUAUGAGUUACAGAAUUCAUCAAUAAUGACAAUAAGGAGAUUUGGGCAGGAGUUUUAUUUAGCUGUUCCACAACAGAAUACUCCUUAGUUGGCAUUUUCCUCAAGAAAUCCUCUACCUCAGCCUCUGUCAUGGCUUUUUUUUUUUUGAAUAUUCUUUUUACUUGGCACUUCUCUCACGACUCCUUCAGGGACAUAACAACGCCUGGAUCUUAUCAUUCCUACAGCAGUGGCUUCUACAACUAAGUUUUCCUUUCCUCUGUCCCCUGCAUUAGUUGAGUAAUUGUAAGGAACUAUUUUAGUAUCUGAAGGUUUUUAGCAACUAAGGCUGUGAUAGUAGGCCUGUGGCCAAGAAUUUCUACUUCAAUGGGCGCUCGCAUCUGGACUGUAACUAUAGGCGCAAUGAAAGCUGAUGUUUCAAUCUUUUUCUUAUCACUUAUAAAUACCAUAGUUUCUUUCAAAUUACAUUCUUCGUCAAUGGUGAUCAUGUUCACAUGGGCAUCCCCAUGAUUUGGCAAGGGAUUGUUGUUCACAUUGGGGGGAGCCCAUUUGAGCUGAAUAGCUCCUUUGAUUAGUGCCUCAAUACUAUCCUUGAGAGUAAGGCAAUCCUCAAUGUCAUGUCCAGCAACCCCGAAGUGAUAAACACAAUGCUUUGUCCCCUCAUACCAUUGGGAAUUCUACCUUGGAUCGGCUGGAGUACUCAUGCGGCUCUCAAUCUCUUAUAUAGUUGAGAUAAGAGUUCAGCUAGAGGUGUAUAGGUUUUGGUUGGCCUUUUUUCAUAGUUUAGGCAAAGUUUGGGGGAAUUUGGAGGAUGAUUUUAUGGAUGGUAGCGAUUUUAAGGUGUCUAGUUAGGCUAAUAUUAUGGUGGAUUUUGAUAGGUGGGUGCUCCAGAUGGGCAAUAUGCCAGCUGGAUGGUAUAAACUGGAUAUGGGGUAGGUAAAGGUUGGUAAUAUGGAUGAGGAUUUUGGGCAUAUUGAUUAUAGUAGGAAGGAUGGGGUGGCAAAUUUUGGUAUGUUAACAUUUGGUUCGAUUUUUUUUCUUGAAUAGUCAUGACAGCAAAAACUCCACAUUUUUCUGUUUAUUCACUCCCCCAGUUGUAUCAUACUGAAUUGCCUUACUUGUUUCUUGAAAAACUACUAGAGUAGUGAUUCUCCCAGUUUUAAUACCUUCUUCAACGAAUUCUCCUAUCCUAACAACUUUAGAGAAUUUCUGCGCAACCACGCUUAUCAACUUGUCAUAAUAUGUCGCAUCUUUUUAAGACUGCACAAAAAAGAAGUCAUCUCGCUUUCCACCAUCAGAGGUUGAACUUUUGAGGUAUCUACUCUCCACCACAUGCCAUAUUCUUUGAAGGACUUUGUCAAUUUAUUUCCCAUCUUCAUUAGAUGGAACCUAUUCAAUAUACCUUUAGUAUUAACUUGAACCUAUCCAUAAAUUCUUGUGCCAAAGCAUUCCAACCACGCUAUUUCCUUGGAUUUUGUCUCGUGUACCAAUCUAGAUCUUCUCCUAUCAAACUCAUUAUAAACAACUUUAUUCCAAUGGCCUUAUUCUCCCCUACUCCCACUAACUUGUCACAAUAUGACCUUAAAUGAGCUAUAGGAUUCCUUUUUUCAUCAAACAUAUCAAAUUUUGGCACCUUAUACCCUACCAACAACUCAACAUUUGGAUGAACACAUAAAUCUUCAUACUCACGUCCUUCACAUCCUUUCUGUUAUUAGAUGCUUCUAAACGUUUUCUUUAAACCAUGAAUCUCCUUUGCUACAUUUUCAUCUACUUUGGACCUUGCCUCUUUCUCCAUCUCCUCAUAAGGAUCAACUUCUUGCGUGGUUGGCAUCGGGAUAGUAAAAGGUUGAGCUCCCUCUACAUAUAUGUAAUACCCCGCAUGUUUCUAAGUUAGGAAGUGAAUAAGUAUUCCUACGUAUGAAAUCUUCUAUCCUGUGAUUCAUACUUGAGUAUAUGACUUACAAUGAAUAUCUUAGUGAUAUGAUAGCUUAUGAUGCAUUAAGCAUGUUCAUAUGAGUCACUUAAGGUAAUACAAGCUAAGAGUUUUUGAAUCCAUCAAGUUUUAGUGUUUGAUUUUGCAAGGGUCAUCUUUGAACGAGUAUAACUAGAUGUUAAUAUGGUAUUUUGGCUGAUUUAGACCCACCAAAUUGUANNNNNNNNNNNNNNNNNNNNNNNNNNNNNNNNNNNNNNNNNNNNNNNNNNNNNNNNNNNNNNNNNNNNNNNNNNNNNNNNNNNNNNNNNNNNNNNNNNNNNNNNNNNNNNNNNNNNNNNNNNUAGGCGAUUGGUUAGGCGCUGCCCAACGUAGCUUAGGCAAUCACUUGGGCUCCGCCUAAGUUAGUUCAAGGUGCAAAAAACACUCGGUUUUGAGUUAUUUUAUGGGUAAUUAAGUCUUUUAACACUCCUUACACGUCCCUAAACUUAACCCUACGAAAUAUAUAGCUUCUAAACAUAUUACAGACCUAUUAUCAUCUCAAAGCUCAUCAUCCAAGAGCACAAAAAGAGAAAAACAACUGGUGUUGCAUAACUAAGCUUGAAGAUCCGAUUUCAAAGAAAUUGCUCCGUCAAUCAACAAGAAUCUUCUUUCUAAGGUAUGUGUGAGUUGAUUUAUGGAUCUCUUUCAUCCAUAAAGCUCAAAAACCCUCUUUUUCAUUAUGAUUUCUAUAUUGUUGGGUGUUGAUGAUCAUGUUGUUGAUAUUGGGUGAUUCCCAAGAUGGAAUCUUUAUAUGUUUUCAUGAAUUCAUGAUAUCAUAUGAGUUGGAAACAUGUAAAUUUGGUUGUUCAUGAUGUAUAAUUUGAUGAUUUCACCUAUGCUUAAGAUGUGCAUAUAAGGUGUUUGAUAAAAUGCCUAAGAAACUAGAAAUCAUACAAUAUAGAUAAAUUGUGACUAAGUGAAGGAUUCAUGAUAUGCCCUUAUGUUCCAAUGACUCCUAUGUUGAUAAUGUGCCUUGUAAAUGUUGUUGGAAUACUCAUGAACUAUUCUUAUGAGAUUAUGCUAUAUUUACUUGCAAAUCCUACUUAUGAACAAGAUGUAUGAUAACCAUGCAAUCCACAUGAACUUUCAUGCUAUUGGUAUGUGUUGCCAAUAUGAUUAUGCAAUGAACAUGAUAUUAAGAUUGUGCAAGUACUUCCAUAUGAUAUGAAAUUCUUUCCAUGUAUGAUUCCAUAGACUUCAGUCAGUCAUGUGACUCAGGAAAAUCUCAUGAUCUUAGUCAGUUGUCAGAUAUCAGUAACAUUCCUCCAGUCAAUGGAAUUCAGAAAGAUUAACUCAUGCGCAGUCAGUUAUUCAUGUCCAGUCCCUCCAGAUAGGAGUAGAGGUUCGCAUCGAGUGAACCCAAAGAUGGGAACUCACCCGUCAGUUCAGGGUGUGAUUCUUAGUAGUCAUCUUUGUGUUCCAGAACUACGUAGCCAGCAUUGGUUAAGACAUCUUAAUCCAUCAGAUUAAGGUUGACGAGGUGGCUUAACCCGUCAGUUUAGGGUUCCCACCAUUCUGAUUGAGUACCCGCCAGAUAAGGGUCACUCACAGGCUGUCCUUACCCAUGGCACGGUAUUGACACCCCUCCAGUCGGGGCAGAGAUUGGACCCCAGCUUAGCCAAAACGACAUACAUGGGUCAUGUCGGUUAAACACUACUUCCCACAAUUUCAGUAUUAGUCUCAGUAAAAAAACUCAGGGCGUUCUUCAGAUUUCAGUAUAUACAGGACUGUUAGAUACAGUCGUCCAUGUUAUCAGUUUUAGUAUCAGUCGUGACAGUUAUCAGUAAACCAUGUAUUAGCUUACAGGUCAUGCUAUCACGUAUUCACGAUCCCAGUUUCUAUAUAUGUGUGUUUGAACUCCCACAUUCAUAUUAGUUAGUCAGUGUUGUUCAUUCAUGAAACCCUUUAUGUUCAGCCUACCUUCCUCGUAUACUCAGUACGCCAAAUAAUUGAGAUUAUUAUAAAUCGAUCCAAGCCAUUAAUUCGGGACAAGCUUUGAGUUUGAAAAUAAUAAACAAGUUUCAUUUGAAUACUAAUCGAGUACAAUGAUAAGAAAUAAUAAGAUAUGCUAAUUAUUUAUAAGAAGAUGAGAAAACUUUAGAAGAACCUCGCCAUAAAAAUCUAGUUUUCAAAAUUAUCAAAGACAAUUUUUAUAAGACCUCGUAGAAGUGAUGCAACCUUAUUUUUUUGGUCAAAAGUGAGUUAUUUAAAAUCUUUCUAGGAAGUUAUUAGGUUUCAUUGUAAGUAGGAAAGACAUAGAAUUAGAUCUUUUAAAAGUAAAGGUUAUCCAAGACUUGUCUCUUCCAAGAAAUCAAAAGGACAUGAUGAGUUUCCUAGGUUGGCUCAAUUACAUCAGUCGAUUUAUUGCACAAUCUACGGUGAUUUAUGAAUCUAUAUUCAAGAUGUUGAGAAAGGGCACUGCUACUAGGUGGACAGAAGAUUGCAUGCAGGCUUUUGACAGAAUCAAGGAGUAUUUGUCUAAUCCGCCCGCUUUAGUACCUCAGAACCCGAAAGGCCAUUGUUGCCUAUAUUUGUCUGCGUCAGACAAGCCAUUUGGGUGUGUUUUAGGACAACAUGAUGAAUCCAGAAAGAAAGAGCAAGCUAUAUAUUACUUUAGCAAGAAGUUCACACUUUAUGAAGCAUGGUAUACAUUAUUGGAGCAUACAUGUUGUGCCUUGACUGGGAUUGCACAAAAGUUAAGGCAUUACAUGUAUGCAUAUACUACUUUUCUAAUUUCUAAAAUGGAUCCGCUCAGGUAUAUCUUUUAGAAGCCCAUGCCUAUCGGGAAGAUAGUAAAGUGACAAAUUUUGCUAAGUGAAUUUGACAUUGUCUACGUUACUCAAAAGGCUGUCAAAGGACAAGCUUUAGCCGAUCAUCUUGCUGAAAACCCUAUAGAUGAAGAGUGCCAGCCUCUUAAAACUUAUUUCCCAGGUGGAAAAGUUUUAUUUAUUAGAGAAGAUAUAUCACAGGAAUAUCCAAGCUGGAGAAUGUUCUAUGAUGGGGCUGCAAACUUUAAAGGAAUUAGUAUUGGGAAGUAUUAAUUUCAAAAUUGGGCUAGCAUUACCCAAUCUCAGUAAAGCUAAGGUUUCCAUGCACUAACAAUAUGGUAGAGUAUGAGGCUUGCAUUUUCGAUCUUAGAAUGACUGUUGAUAUGAACAUACAAGAACUCUUGGUUAUAGCGGAUUCAGAUUUAGUGGUGCAUCAAGUACAAGGUGAAUGGAGUGUCAAGAACGUAAAGUUGCUUCCAUAUUUGGAGUGUGUGAAAGAGUUGCGCAAAAAGUUCAUCAAGAUUGAAUUUUAACGUAUCCCGAAAACUCCAAAAUAAGUUAGCAGAUGCAUUACGACCUUAUCAUCUAUGAUUCAACAUCUAGACAAGAAUUUCAUAAAUCCUAUCAAGAUAAAUAUACAAGACCAAUUGACCUCCUUGGCUAGCGCACUACUAUGACAUUAAGAGGUAUCUCAAGAAAGGAGACUAUGCAUAAGGCAUAAUUAGUAUUCAGAAGAGAACACUCCGGAGAUUGGAAAAUCACUUUUUCCUAAAUGGAGAAAUACUUUAUAGGAGGACCCCACAUUUAGGAUUGUUAAGGUAUGUCGACGCUCAAGAGGCGAACAGGUUAGUCGAAGAAAUAUAUGGGGGCAUAUGUGGCCACAUAUGAAUGGUUUUGUUUUGGCAAAGAAGAUUCUUUGGGCUGGUUAUUUUUGGAUGACAAUGGAAACAGAUUGAAUUCACUUUUUGCAAAGAUGACAUCCAUGUCAGAUUAUAGUGAUUUGAUUUACGUUCCACCAAAUAAACCUAAUGUGAUGAGUUCUCCCUAACCGUUUGCAGCCCGGGGCAUGGAUAUCAUCGAUCCUAUUGAGCCAGUUGUAUCAAAUGGACAUAGAUUUAUUUUGGUAACUAAUGAUUAUUUCACUAAAUGGGUAGAAGCUUCUUCGUACAAGUCUAUAACAAAAUAAGUUGGUGAUAGAUUUUGUUUGCAAUAACAUUAUUUGUCGCUUUGGAGUUCUGGAGUCAAUUAUAACAGAUAAUGGAUCUAAUCUCAAUAGUGUCUUGAUGCAUGAGAUAUGUGAGAAGUUUAGGAUUAUUUAUCGUAAUUCCACUGCUUACCGUCUUCAGAUGAAUAGAGCUGUUGAGGCUGCCAACAAGAACAUUAAAUGGAUAUUGCGGAAAAUGUUUGAUAACUAUAAGCAUUGACAUGAGCAUUUUUCAUUUGCCCUCCUUGGCUAGCGCACUACUAUUAGGACUUCUAUUGGAGCAACACUUUAUCUUUUGAUUUAUGGAAUAAAAGUUGUAUUGCCCUCCGAAGUGGAGAUACCAUCUUUAAGAAUCAUUCAGGAAGCAGAAUUGACUGAUGCCAAGUGGAUUCAAAAUUGGUAUAAACAAUUGAUGCUAAUUAAUGAAAAGUGGAUGAACGCAGAUUGUCAUAGCAACUUUAUCAAAAUAGAAUGGCCAAAGCUUUCAACAAGAAUGUAAGAUCGAGAUAAUUCAAACUGGGACAAUUGGUAUUGAAGUGCAUAUUUUCACACCAAAAUGAAGCUAAGGGUAAUUUUGCACCUAACUGGCAAUGGCCUUACAUGGUUCAUCGAAUACUGACCGCCGGAGCAUUGAUCCUAGCAGAAAUGGAUGGUGAAGUGUAGACGAAAGCCAUUAAUGCAGAUGUUGUUAAGAGAUACUAUGUCUAGAAGCAUUUAUUUAUUUUUGUAAUGUUCUUCUUUUCUUUCAAUGUAAUGAAACUACGAAUGACCUAGUUCCUUCGGGAGAAUACGUAGGAAACUAACGUUGGGUUUGGUCUCUUAGUAGAAAUUUUCAAAAAUCCCUCUUUUCUUGUAAUGCGAACUGCGGUUCACCUGACUUCCUAGGCGGAUAUGUAGGCGGCCACAUAGGUCUCGGUCACAUUAGAAUUUUUUUUCAAAUUUCUCCUUUUUAUUUCGUAUGUAAUGAACUGUGUUCGACCUGAUUUCUGUGGGAUACGUAGGCAACCCACAGAGGGUUCGGCCCUUUAGUUUUAAAUUUUCUUAAGUGUAUUUCAUGAAUUACGCUCAGCUUGAUUCCCUUGUCGGGAUACGUAGGUAGCCUAUGCAAGACUCGGUCUCAUCAUUACGGAAUGCAAUAUUUCUCUCAAGUCAAAACUGGGACAGUUUUUAAGGGCAUCAUUUCAAGAAAACGGUUGGGAAAAUAUCAAGAGAUAUUGAAGAAUGUGGGUUCAUCCAAGUAAUUGAAGGAAAAAAUAGAUAUUCGCUUGGGAUAAAGGAUGUUCGCAUUGUUUCACAAUUCAAAAGUUUGACAGAAUUUUUUAACAACUAUGCAUAUUUUAUUUACCAAGUUAUUUAUCACUCUUGUUUAUAUUUUAUUUUUAACAAUUUUCAAUCAAACUUUCUUUUUUAUAAUCUCACUUUAAUUUAUUUGGAACUAUGCAUGACUUUCAUUUUCUUCUAUGGCAACACACAAUUGCUUUCAAGUGCAUCAAAGAAAGGCUAUAUAGAAAUUCACUGCUUGCAAAAGUUAUUUUUUCAUAAAUUAUUGGCUUAGGAAAAAGUCUUCAUCCAUCAAUCAUUUCGCUGAAAAUGCCCCAUCUUCAUAACUUACUUGGUUUAAGGCCUCAUUUUCAUCGCUGAAAGACAUCAUUCUCAUGAAUCAUCGACCUAAACUUCAUUUUUUAUAAUCUUUGUUUCCAGCUUGAAAGACCGUAUUUGCAUAAACUAACGCCCGAGAGGCGUUAUUUUCAUUAAUUCACUAUAAAUGCAUUUACUAUUUAUGUACUAAUUUCUUUAUCUAGUUUAGAUUUUGCAGGAGUUUUAGCACAAACGUGGAGCUAUUUCUUAGCAGUGAACUAGGGUAAUUUGUUGGAAACGAGGAUCAGACUCCCAAAAAUUAUCAAGAGUCUAGCUCGAACUUUACUUGGCCCUACUUUCAAAUAUCUUACUUACAUCUAUACCUUGAUGAUCAAGUUCUCUCACUUCUAUAUUCUAUUUUCCUGAAUCAUCAUUUUUAGUGUCAUCAUAUUUCGACACUGGGACAAUCUUCUUAAGCUUGUGUCUACCCUUUUUCUAAUCUACAAGAAUUAAAAAUCUUGAACUACAUAUGACCUCAUUCUCAUGCAACCUGAGAUAUGUUGGCAGCUCGGAGAUCGGAGUUCAAUAACAAUCUUCCCUAACAUUCUCCAUACAUAUCCUCCUAGACCCUAUCAGCUGGGAUAAAAUUAGGUUACUAGUCAACUUCUUUAUCUGAAAAAUCUUUCAUCAUUUUUGAAUAAUUAGGGACAAAUGUUGAUACUCAAUUUUGCCCCGUCUUUUUUCAAGUCAUGUCUUUAAACUUCUAAUAAUUUUGGUAACUUAAAAAAUACAUGAGUGUAAUUUCUAUAAUUAGGAGUUCAUACCAGUCUUGCCACCAUUUAUAUUUUUUAAUUAAGAAUCAUCAAAAAUAUUAUUAUUAUUAUUAUCAUUAUUAUUUUUAUUAAUAUUUGUUACUAUUUUUAUUAUAUUUUUAUCGUCACAUUCCCUAUAAACUACCGCGUAAGGCAUUAUAUUUAUUUAAUCGAAUGAAGUAUUUUUGUGAUUUUAUAAUUUAUAAAUACUAUCGUUCAAUUUCAAAUUUAUCAUGCAACUUUGUUUCGAUACUUAUAUUUUAAUCUCGAAUGAUCUUUUAUUUAUUCGAAUAUUUUUAAAUAUGUUUUAUUAAAAAUGUUAUUUUAUGUUAAUUUAGAAGCCCAAAUAAUAUAAAAAAGAAAGUGUUUUAAAUCAGCCCAUGUUGCAAUAUUCAUGCAAUUCUGGCUCAAAUUCAGGCAUGAUCCACUAAAGCCCACCUUUUAUCUCCCUUCUUAUACCUCAGCACCACGUGGAUGCUAUGUUUGCGUCACAUAAGGCGCCAAACGGUCAUAACACACAUUAAACACACACUUGUUGCACUUCUCCCUCACCCUUGCACACACUCAGCACCCCCCCUCUUGCCGCAUGUCUCAUCCCAAAAGGUUGGUCAAAAAACAAUUGCAAAUUCAACUUCUUCCUUACCUUAAAUUGCCUAUUUUAACCCUACUUCCUUCACCUAGCAGUCUGUUUGGAUGGUGGUUUCCCAUGGUAUGGUUACCAUGGGAACCAUGUUUUUUUGAUUGUUUGCUAAAAGAAAUGGUAUGAUAUGAUAUUUUUCCAUGAUUUGAUAACCAUGGAAUCCAUCAAUUUCUUGAACCACCAAUUUGGUGGUAUGCUAUGGUUUUUUUUUUCCAACUNNNNNNNNNNNNNNNNNNNNNNNNNNNNNNNNNNNNNNNNNNNNNNNNNNNNNNNNNNNNNNNNNNNNNNNNNNNNNNNNNNNNNNNNNNNNNNNNNNNNNNNNNNNNNNNNNNNNNNNNNNNNNNNNNNNNNNNNNNNNNNNNNNNNNNNNNNNNNNNNNNNNNNNNNNNNNNNNNNNNNNNNNNNNNNNNNNNNNNNNNNNNNNNNNNNNNNNNNNNNNNNNNNNNUAUAUAUUUUAAUCCUAUUUGACCCUUAUCAACAAAAUACAUGCUAACUCCUAACAGCUGAUUGAUUUAAAAAACUUUUGUCAACAAAAUUCAAAAAAACCUCAAUUCAAAUAAAAAACAACUGAUUAAAAAAAAACUUUAUCAAAAAAGAAUUAGGAAAAAAAAUCCAAUCUUUACUUGUAAAACAACAUUCAAGAAAUAAUAAUUUCCAAGAUUUUACAAUCGGGGAAUUACCAAAUAAUUUGUUGAGCUAUUACUAAUUUAUUCCAAACUAUUACAGUUUCGCUAGCAAACCUGCCAUCUUGCUUGCAAGUUAACGUGGAGUCUUACACCAGCUAUUGCAGAUGUAACAAGAAUGAAGGUGAGGAAAAGGUUUUAGUUAUUCUUCAAGUCGUUUCUAUGAAUAUAUCAUCCUUUGGCAUAGUUUUUCACUGUACUUGUUUUUAAAAAUCUGUAUUGUUCACAGAUUCUUUCAAGUGAAACUGAUGGAUACCCAAUUUAUUAAUAAUUAGGGGUAUUUUCAUAAAUUUACCUGUUAUCAUACAGUAUCAUACCAUCAAACCAAACAAAAAAACUAUUAUUAAACCAUAGUGAACGAUACAGUCUAUCCAAAUAUGGUAUUAUAUCAUAUUGUAUUAUACCAUACCAUACCAUACUAUACCAUACAUUAUGAAACCAUGGCAAACCACCAUCCAAACAAAGGCUAAAAUGCUCAUAAUACACUAAACCCUAAAAAUUAGGCCUGAAUCUCCCACCUCUCCUAUUGAAUACACGACUUCUCUUCCAAAUAGAACUCAACGUCUUCUUUCCCUCUUCAAACAACAGUACAGACCCCUUUCACCAUGGAUGAAUUUUGCUUCUCCAUUGUUGUGUAAUGGCUAUGUCAACCACGCGAAGGACCAAGUCCAUCCAAGCUCACAACUCCCAAUAUUUCAAAUUCAAAUGAUUGAAAAUAUAUAAUGAUUGUUGUGUAAUGGCUAUCCCAAUAUUAAUUCUAAUAUAUAAAUGAUUUAUAAUAAUUAAUUAGGGGUAAUAUAGUAAAUUAUGGAGCAAUUAGGGGUAAUAUAUGCAGACAUGUC